AAACUUUGCAAUGUGCGAAAGCACGACAAGGUUAAUCCGAGUGGUUUCUGCUAAAGGAACCUUUUGACAGUCCUAGAAACACUGUUGAAUAAGGGGUGGGCAAGUUCUGGUGUCAGCCGCCGCGGUAAAACCAGCACCUCAAGUGGUCAGGAUGAUUAUUGGGCCUAAAGCAUCCGUAGCCGGCUCAGUAAGUUUUCGGUUAAAUCUGUACGCUUAACGUACAGGCUGCCGGGAAUACUGCAGAGCUAGGGAGUGGGAGAGGUAGACGGUACUCGGGAGGAAGUGGUAAAAUGCUUUGAUCUUUCGAUGACCACCUGUGGCGAAGGCGGUCUACCAGAACACGUCCGACGGUGAGGGAUGAAAGCUGGGGGAGCAAACCGGAUUAGAUACCCGGGUAGUCCCAGCUGUAAACUAUGCAAACUCAGUGAUGCAUUGGCUUGUGGCCAAUGCAGUGUUGCAGGGAAGCCGUUAAGUUUGCCGCCUGGAAGUACGUACGNCAAGU
rnacentral:rRNA from 1 species